UCCAAGGUAGCUCAAUGGUAGAGCUCCGCACUGUUAAUGCGGCUGUUGUAGGUUCGAGCCCUACCCUUGGAGCCA
rnacentral:tRNA from 1 species